rnacentral:rRNA from 1 species
GGCGUGCUUAACACAUGCAAGUCGAACGCUGAAGCCCAGCUUGCUGGGUGGAUGAGUGGCGAACGGGUGAGUAACACGUGAGUAACCUGCCCCCUUCUUUGGGAUAACGCCCGGAAACGGGUGCUAAUACUGGAUAUUCACUGGCCUUCGCAUGGGGGUUGGUGGAAAGGUUUUUUCUGGUGGGGGAUGGGCUCGCGGCCUAUCAGCUUGUUGGUGGGGUGAUGGCCUACCAAGGCUUUGACGGGUAGCCGGCCUGAGAGGGUGACCGGUCACAUUGGGACUGAGAUACGGCCCAGACUCCUACGGGAGGCAGCAGUGGGGAAUAUUGCACANUGGGCGAAAGCCUGAUGCAGCGACGCCGCGUGAGGGAUGACGGCCUUCGGGUUGUAAACCUCUUUCGCUCAUGGUCAAGCCGCAACARUGGUUGUGGUGAGGGUAGUGGGUAAAGAAGCGCCGGNUAACU